rnacentral:sRNA from 1 species
UCCCAUCACCCUUGCCCUCGGGACGCCGG